rnacentral:rRNA from 1 species
CAGGUCAGGCGGGGCUACCCGCUGAGUAAGCAU